CCUGCGGAGGGAUCAUUACCGAGUUUACAACUCCCAAACCCCUGUGAACAUACCUUAAUGUUGCCUCGGCGGAUCAGCCCGCGCCCCGUAAAACGGGACGGCCCGCCAGAGGACCCAAACUCUAAUGUUUCUUAUUGUAACUUCUGAGUAAAACAAACAAAUAAAUCAAAACUUUCAACAACGGAUCUCUUGGUUCUGGCAUCGAUGAAGAACGCAGCAAAAUGCGAUAAGUAAUGUGAAUUGCAGAAUUCAGUGAAUCAUCGAAUCUUUGAACGCACAUUGCGCCCGCUGGUAUUCCGGCGGGCAUGCCUGUUCGAGCGUCAUUUCAACCCUCAAGCCCCCGGGUUUGGUGUUGGGGAUCGGCUCUGCCUUCUGGCGGCGCCGCCCCCGAAAUACAUUGGCGGUCUCGCUGCAGCCUCCAUUGCGUAGUAGCUAACACCUCGCAACUGGAACGCGGCGCGGCCAUGCCGUAAAACCCCAACUUCUGAAUGGUGACCUCGGAUCAGGUAGGAAUACCCGCUGAACUUAA
rnacentral:rRNA from 1 species